GUGCAAUGGCAUAAGCCAGCUUGACUGCGAGCGUGACGGCGCGAGCAGGUGCGAAAGCAGGUCAUAGUGAUCCGGUGGUUCUGAAUGGAAGGGCCAUCGCUCAACGGAUAAAAGGUACUCCGGGGAUAACAGGCUGAUACCGCCCAAGAGUUCAUAUCGACGGCGGUGUUUGGCACCUCGAUGUCGGCUCAUCACAUCCUGGGGCUGAAGUAGGUCCCAAGGGUAUGGCUGUUCGCCAUUUAAAGUGGUACGCGAGCUGGGUUUAGAACGUCGUGAGACAGUUCGGUCCCUAUCUGCCGUGGGCGCUGGAGAACUGAGGGGGGCUGCUCCUAGUACGAGAGGACCGGAGUGGACGCAUCACUGGUGUUCGGGUUGUCAUGCCAAUGGCACUGCCCGGUAGCUAAAUGCGGAAGAGAUAAGUGCUGAAAGCAUCUAAGCACGAAACUUGCCCCGAGAUGAGUUCUCCCUGAGACUUAGAGUCUCCUGAAGGAACGUUGAAGACGACGACGUUGAUAGGCCGGGUGUGUAAGCGCAGCGAUGCGUUGAGCUAACCGGUACUAAUGAACCGUGAGGCUUAACCUUACAACGCCGAAG
rnacentral:rRNA from 6 species